AUCAAUGCUUUGAAGGGCAUCAGUAGACAGCGAACCGCAUUUUGCAGAGAACCGGUGGGUGGUGGAAACCGGUAUGCGCCGCUUGUUGAAUUACCGCCUGGAGCUAAGUGAAGGAACCGUAUGCUAAGAUCGGCUUUAGCCCAAGAAAGGGCGCCUGUCUUAAGCCGUAGUAGUUCACUUCGGAGCCCGUCUCCGUUAUCAACAACGAAGUGAGAGUGUCGUACAGCCCAUUUGCUUGAUAGGCUGGCGUACUCUAACGAGGGUGGUACCGCGAGCUAAUCCUUCUCGUCCCUUGG
rnacentral:ncRNA from 1 species